AAAACAUGAUUAGAGAGAUAAAUAUGUUUCAUAUAUAGUAUAGAUGGGUAAAAAUCCCUUAUCUAAUUUCCUUUUCGGGAUUAUCCAUCUGCAUAUGUAGGCCCUGUUUGUCCAUAAAUUAUUUUUUUUUUUUUCAAAAAUGUGUUUGUCCAUGAAAUUUUAGAAGUUUAUGGAAAUUUUCGAAAAUGAGUUUUUCAAAAACCAUAAAAUGGUUUUGACCAGGUUUUCAAAAUUUUGAGAAAAAGAAUUUUCAGAAAAACUUUUUUCCUCACUCACAAAACUGCAAUAUUUUUUCAAGUGAAUGUUACACCCCCUUUUUUUUACGUCACUAACCCUCUUUAAAAGAUAAAGAAGAUUUUUAAGCUCAAAAGGGUUUUCAAGACAAAAAAAUUGUGUUUCAAAGGAUUUUCAGAGUCGCCACCUGACAUUUGAUUUCGAUGUGCCAGGUCAUCGUUAAAAAAUAAUUUUUCCUUUUGAAAACACAUCUAGACUCUAAAACAUAGUCUGCACCAGAGAUUCUAGAUAAGGGGGUUCAUUUGACUCGGGGAGAAGGUAUUAGGCAUUCCCCAAGUCCCGUAACUAGUACGGUUGCGUACUCGAUCAAGUUGGCUUUAAAGAAUAUUCUAAUGGAGGCAAAAACACGGAAAAAGAAAAAUAAGCACAAAAAAGGCUCGAGGUCGUCCCCACCUAAUAAAAGAAAAAUAAGAGAAAAGAAAAGGAAGUACUAAAAGAAAAAAAAUACUAAGAGUUAUAAUCUAUCUUACGCUAUGCUUCCUCCGCGAUGUAGCCGGGCCUCUAUUUACAUUCACAUCAGGGCAUAACCCGGAUAAAAAUAUAUACAAACUCUUCGGGGCAUUCCCCUGAUGAAACCAUAAUAAACUAAAGGGGAACGACCUCUUACCUCGAAAAUUCAAACAAAAUCCUAAGGUUUGCCUACCUAAGUGUGGUCGGCCUAGGCAUGCUCAUACCCGAAAAAGUAAAUAAAACAAGACUAGAAGAACAAUACAAUUAUCUUGAACCUAAAUUUCUUUUAAUUUUACACAGCAAUCCAAAUAAUGAAAUCAAUCCAAAAUAAGUUUUUAAGUUGGAACUCCUUACUUCAUUAAAGCUAAAUCGCAUUCGGUUGAAGCCGUAAGAUAAAAAAAAUAAUGCCAGCAAGCCUACUUUAAAGCAUGUACACAACAAAGAAAAACAUUCUUAUUUUCACUUUCACGUCAUUAGCCAAUCCAGUUACCAAACUCAAGCAAAUUUCAUCAAAGGAUCAAAAGGUAUCACAAAUAAUCAUGAAAACCAUAUGAAUCAACCAUUCAAACACAUAUAUGACAAAAAUCAAGAGGUAGAAUAUUAAAGAUAGAAAUUGACCUUUAAGUAGCUUUUCAAUAGCAAAAUUUCAUCCAAACAGCUUUACACUCGCUCAAGCGAGGAAAGAAUCCGUCGACGGGAACUCGACAGAGUAGCAAACCGCAAUAACUAUUGGACAGGAACCGCGAAUCAGCCCGUGAGCGAACCCAGAACUCGAAAACCUCGAACGGACCGCCGUGUGUACUCAAUGAAGAAGAAAGACCUUAAAAAUAGAUAGUGUAUCCAUGGUCCUAUGUGCCGCCGCGGCUUUAUUCAUCGGUCCUUAACUCGAACUCAAUUCUCUCACGACGUAAGCCAUGGUUUGUUCGGUGUGAGUAGAAAGCAGAAUAACAGGGUCUUUUUCUCAACGCGCUUAGCUUUUAUCAGUGGUUCGAUCAGAGAGCGAAAAAUACUAGGAGGAGGAGAGAGAGAUAAAAUGGCAGUAGUCCGGCGGGUUUGAGAUGGCCGGUGGCGGCAGACUUGAGAGGAGAGAGCGUGGCCGUUUUGGACUUGCUGCUGGCGGCGUCGCCAUUCGCCGGUGAUCAAUUCCGGCGAGGCAAUAACUCGGGUGAAGGAGAUGGCAGAGGCGGGUGAGGAGGGUGGUCGUUGGGUGUUGAGGGGGUGCUGCUGCGUGUGUAUCUAUGUGCUCGAAUUUUUGGCGAGUGAGCAGCAACCUUGUCUAUCAAAUGAAGAGAGAGCUUUGAAGAUGAAGAGGCGACCGGAUCUUGGAGAGGAGGGGUGUGGCUCUCUUUAGAAUGGAGGAGUUCCCUUAGGGUUUUGGGUGUUAAUUUGGCUUUUAUAUGGUGGUGAGGAGUAAGUAUUGGCCAUUGGAUUAAACAUAAUGAGUGGCCAAGAUUUAAUCUUGCAUUUAAGUGGAGAAUGGACUAAUGGGUUGGGAAGAAUGAGCCUUUGUCUUGUUGGGCCACUAAAAUCUGAAAAUGAGCUCCUAAUUGGCCCAAAUUUAAUUCUUUCUCAAUGAACAAAAAUAAAAAUAAAUAUACUACUAAAAUAUACUAAUUAAUCUUAGUUAAUAAUAAUAAACUAUUAAAGUGAACUAUAUAUUAAAAUGAAAAUAUUUUUGGUAUUUUUUAAAUGUUAUAAAAAAGGUAGAGAAAACUAUUUAAAGUAAUGGUAAAAAUUAAAAUACUAAUAAGCUUAAAUAAAUAAAAAAAGGAUAAAAAUAAAAAGAUAUAUAAUAAGAGAAGAAAUAUUAUAAAACUAUUUUUUGUGUUUUUAAACUUAUGUUUUAAAAUAAAAAUUAAAAGUUGACUGAAAUCCUAUUAAAAUGAAAAUAAGUAAAUAUUUUAAAAUACUACUUUUAAAAGUUGCACGGGUCAAUCAUUGCGUGCUUACAACUGCCCCUCUUUGCUUGGAAACACGAAGAGUUUUCGGAGUAAAGAACAAUAAGCAACGUAAUUGAUUUAUGACCCGAUGCUUAUUUAAAAGAAAAUAAAGAUGGCUAAAAAGAUUGUGACCGAGCCCUGGUAUUGAACUGCCUACAUAUCCUUGGCUAUAAAAGAUUCAGGUCAUGUGUAGUUUAGAAGUGAGAAGAGCGAUGGAGUAUACCAAGGUGGAGAGCCGAUUGAGGUGCCGUCGAGGUUCCGGUCCACGGUUCUUGCCAUUACAUCCAAAAUAAAAGGAUCUAUUACAGCGAAAAUAAAAGAAAAAUACAAGAUCCUAUCUACUUCUUGUCUCGAAUCUUCCUUGGAUCUCCACUUGAUCCUUCAACAUGAAAUUGAAAAUUCACCCUAUUCUUCAGGUUGGUAUCCUACUGACUUGAAUUUGAAGAAAACUGGAAGUUGACCCUAUUCUUCAGGCGGGCACCCUGCUGCUUGCACUUGAAAUAAACUUGAACUUGUGGUAGACUUGAGCUUGAAAACCUUGUUCUUCAAGCGGCUCAUGCUACUUCUGAUUUGAAUUGAAAAACUGGAGGUUAACCCUAUUCUUCAGGAGGGAUCCUGCUGCCUCUGACUUGAACAUGAAAAUUGAAAGUUGACCCUGUUCUUCAAGCGGGCUCCUGAUGCCUCUCUAACUUGAACUUGAAAAUUGAAAGUUGAUCAUGUUCUUCAGACGGGCUCCUGAUGCCUCUCUAACUUGAACUUGAAAAUUGAAAGUUGACCAUGUUCUUCAGGCGGGCUCCUGAUGCCUCUCUAACUUGAACUUGAAAAUUGAAAGUUGACCCUGUUCUUCAGGUGGGCUCCUGAUGCUUCUCUGAUUUGAACUUAAAAUCGAUUUCUGAAAUAUUGACCCUCGUUCUCCAGGUGGGUGCCUGCAAUCAAAACAACAAAACAAACAAAAUUGUCUGCCCCAGUUUGCACUAGGAAGAUUUGUGAGCUGUUAGCAAAACUGUAAAUACCUAUGCUAUUAAUGAAAGAGAAGAGUAAAACUAAAGAAUCGACUAGGAUGUGCGUCUCCUAUGAGAUUGAGCUUUAGGAAAACUAUAAACGGAGCUUGACUAAACUUUAAAAUUGACCCUAUUCUCCAGGCGGGACCCCCGAGCUAAAGGAAAACUAAGAUUAACAACUUAAAAAAACUAAAAACUGACCCCAUUCUCUAGGCGGGACCCCUGAACUCAAGAAAAACUAAAGACUAACAAUUUAAGGAAACUAAAAACUGACCCUAUUCUCCAGGCGGGACCCCUGAACUUAAAGAAAGCCAAAGAUUAAUAACUUAAGAAAACUAAAAGUUGACCCUAUUCUCCAGGCUGGACCCUUGAACUCAAGAAAAGCUAAAGACUAACAACUUAAGGAAACUUAAAACUGACCUUAUUCUCUAGGCGAGACCACUGAACUUAAGGAAAACUAACGAUUCACAACUCAAGAAAACAAAAAACUGACCUUAUUCUCCAGGCGGGACCCCUGAACUAAAGAAAUGCUAAAGAUUAACAAUUUAAGAAAACUAAAAUUGACCCUAUUCUAUAGGCGGGACUCCUGAACUUGAGGAAAGCCAAAGAUAAGCAACUUAAGAAAAUUAAAACUGACCCUAUUCUCCAGGCGGGACCCCUGAAUUCCAGUAAAGCUAAAGACUAACAACUUAAGAAAAUUAAAAACUGACCCUAUUCUCCAGGCGGGACCCCUGACCUCAAGAAAAUCUAAAGAUUAACAGCUUAAGGAAACUAAAAAUUGACCACUUAGGAGAAACUAAGAAGUGACCCUAUUUUCCAGGCAGGAUCCUGAACUUAAAGAAAGCUAAAGACUCUUCCGACUAGAGAGACUGCCAAGGAGGUACGGUUCAUCUCAAGCAGGAAAACUUCUUGAGAGCUAAUGAUCUUCUCAACUAGGGGAAUGUCUAGGAGGUAAAAACCUUCUCAAACAGCCUUUGUGCUGAUAAAAUUUGGGCAUGACACUUGAAAAAUUCGAGCUUCCAAGCUUUGAUUUGGACAUAGUAUUCGUCCCUGUUUCAAACAAAGAAAACUUGUGAGUUUAAAACAUGGUGGUUGGUUUGUGGUCUUAACCUUGAGGGCGAUUGAUCUUACACUUGCCAUGAUAACUUUGAUUUCCAUUUGGAAGACCUUGCUUGUUAUUGGUUAACCACUUUUUCUGUCAACCCUUAUCACAGAAAGCACCUUUGAUCCAGUCAAUCCCAAUACCUUAUACCCGAAGCAUUGUGCUCAUGAAUGAUAUUUACCGAACCUUUGCAUUUCACAUGAAUACCAAAGCACGUCAAUUGUUAUCAACUCAAAGUGCAUACCACUUUUCCCUGACUUAUACCACUUUGAUGUGCUAGCCAGACUCCACUUUGUGCAAUUGGAAAGCUGGUAGCAAAUUUUGGAGUCAUUUCUCACUUGUUUUGACAAAACAAACUCAAAAAGAGGACUUAAACAAAGCAAGAGGAACAUAGUAAGGGAAUAAUGGAAAGAGAUGAUAUCUAACAAGAAAAUUACAAAGUUGAAACUUAUCUGAUGUGGAUACCAACUCCAAUGACCAUGACAUGCAUUUUGGGUUAAGAGGCCUAAUCUGUCAAGCAAGUCUAAUGUUCAACUGUUGUUAUACCUCUAAGCCGUGAAACUGGGCUUCAAUGCUCCGAUUAUCCUAUCUGAUUCACGAUCCUUAUUCAACUUGUAGUGCCCGAAGGGUCUUCACCAUCAAGCCUUUUUCAUUUUGUUCUUUCUCUCAAUUCAUCGUCGCUUAUGAUGCCCGUGAGAGUUUUCACCAAUAAGACUAUCUCAUUUUAUUCUUUUCUUCUUAUUUCCUCUGAUUCUGCAGAUGACAAGGGGUUAACCAUGGUAAAAAUAUCAUAUGCUCCUGGCACGACUAACUCGACACUCUCAAAGAUUAUCUGGAAGGUGGUUUUUGGAUUGUAAUGUGGCUUUUGGACAGGGUUAGAAAGAAAGGAUAUUAUAAAGGCUCAAAAUAACUAAGACAACAGAGUUAACUUAUUUGCAACUUUUGGAAUCCAUUUUAAAAAACUUUUCCCCAAUUUCUAAAACAAGAGAAUUUGAUGAGAUUAUGAAAUAUUUUAUUUGGUGCGACCAAAUCGUAAGGCUGCCUACGUAUCUUGUGGUGACAAGAAUCAGGUCGAACGUAGUUCAAAAGAAUACUUUUUGUUGUUGCUAUUUUUCUUUUUUCUUCUUUUUCCUCUUUUUUUUUCCUUUUUUCUUUUUGAAAUUUUCUUUUGGAAUGAACUUUCUAAAACAAACCUUAUGGGGGCAUGAUUUAUUUUUAGUGACUCUAACUCGAUUCCAAAAGAGGGGAGGUCAAAGAAAUCAACACUGGCUCAAAAGGGUACCUAAGGGCAUAAAGUGUUUGGGUAGCUGAAAGAGGGCCUCCCAAUCACUAAAAAUGCCAAGUACAACACAUGCAACUUGAGGGUGAAAUAUGAAGAUCAUGCAUAACAUUUCUUUUGCAGCAUCAGCAUUGAUAUCCCAGAUAUGCCUUCCAUCUUUGUUUAGUGUCAUGUCAAGUACAAAACUCUCAUUGGGUGAUUUCUUCUUCACAAUGAGUACUCUCCGUCAGUUUGGGAUAAACUUCCUUGGCUUUAUCUUGUAACUUGAGAUACACUUGAACUCAAAGUUGCUUGCUUCAAAUUGUCUAGGACGCACUCUCUUAUACCAAAUCCUUGUUGUCCUAUUAACUUCCCAAACUAUCUGCCCAGUUUCAUACAAUAUGGGCUUAAAAUGAUCUCAAAAUGUCCAAAUCUUUACUUAUUUCUCUCAAAUGUCCCUGUCAUAUUCAAACCUUGUUUCAUUAUUUCAUGAUUAGACUAAAUUUUAAGACCAGACUGAGAAUUCCACGUACAUGUCAUGUCACUAGAGUCAUCAUGAAAAGAACUAUAAACAGAAAAGAGAACCAAACAAAAAUGGACUAGAAAUAAUAGAAAACGGGAGAUUGCAUUAGACAGACGGUGAAAGGGUUUGAACAACAAAACAAGCAAAAUAGACAUGGGUUACAACCCUGGAACAAUCCUAGAUAACACUAGACGAGUUACUACAACUAAACGAACUAGGCAAAAUAAGAAGAAGAAGGAUUUGAGCCACAAGACAAUAUCCGGAUUACAACCCUGAAAUAACCCGGACAACAGAAAUGACCACAAAAUAAACCACCAAAACUCCUCCCUGGCUAGCCAAUAAAGGAGUGUCUUUCCAAUUACCAAGCUCGCGAUCUUAGCCACUGAGUCUCAAAUCAACAUUACUAGGACCUUCAUAAGUCUCCAUCACAUUAACCUCGGCAAGUGGCUUUGGGGUCCCCUUUGCCAACUCAUUCUUAAAAUUAACUUCUGGAACUGAGACUGAUAGCACUGAAAACUUUGCGGUAAGUGGCCUUCCAAGGGAUUCAGGAGAGUUUUCAUAUUCCUUUUCAACACAAAUAUUGCCCACCAUAUGCGUCUCAUUAUGAACAAGCAAUUGACUUUGGCUAGUAUCUGAUGCAUUUGGAUUUUGCACGAUAAUGUCACCUGCAUCAACAAGUUUCUGGACUUCUCUUUUCAGAUGCCAACACUUUUCUAUGCUGUGCCCCGGUGCAUUAGAGCAAUAUGCGCACCUUUGAGAAAAAUCAAAAUUCUUUGGAAGGGGGUUCGGCAUUUUUAUCUGAAUUGGCUUCAACAUAUCCAAUUGCCUCAACCUUUGGAACAAACUAGCAUAUGAUUUUCCAAUAGGAGUGAAAGACUUUUCUCUUUGCUGCUGCCUUUUCAUUUUGUACUCCAGCCUCGGUUGGAACCUCUUGCGCGUAGGUGAUUGACAUGCUUGAGGAGGCGGGUAAAAUAUUUGUGGAGGUGGUGCAUGCCAAUGCGAGUCUUGUGGAUGUGGAGCAUAUGGUGGUGCAUUAUGGAUAGAGUAGUGGGAAAGUGAGGUAUGACUUUGGGGAUUUUAUGGAGAGAAGUAGCAUUGGGGAGGAUUAUCUAGAGUACGUGGAUAUUCAUGGGGUCGAUGUUGAGGCUGAAAGCAUUGAGCAGGAACGCCCAUUGGAUCUUGUUGUUGGCGGGGCUCAACAACAUCAGGAGGGCUAUUUUUGGGAAAUGUAGUUGGAGGACGAACAAUGGAGCUACUACGGAGGUUAGGAAAGUUGUGAUAAGAGGGAAAAUUCGGAGAAUAUGGUAGAUCAUUUGACACUAUGACUGGAGCUUGGGUAAGGGUAGCAUCUAGGAAUCUAGGUGGUGGCGGGGGUGGUGCCUUCCCAGUCAUAGGAUGACCUGAUACAUGUCCGCUAUAUGUUGUCUCAACAUCCUUACCUUUUCAACCAACCCAAUGUCUUGUUCAACCAACUGGUUUCGGGUACCAGUAUCGACCAACUCAACUCUGUUGUCGUCUGCCAUUGCCUUUCAGACUUUAUGUUGCAGGGAAGAGUUACCAGUUUAAGAACCACAAACCAACCACCCUUUUGCUAUAAUAAAGAUAACAAAUAGGAACAAAAUGAAGUCAUCACGUUAGCGUUAGGGCAUUUAACAUAAUAUAAUCUCACGUUAUGUGCAAUGCACCUAGUCACAGUUAUUGGUUCUAAAAUGACUUCGCGGGCAUGAAGGUCAUAUGGCAUAAUCCCAAUUUUACUCUCAUUGCCCUUUCCUUCUUCAUUUCCUCUCUUGCGCUCCUUGAUUUGCUCAUUUCUUUCCUCUCUUUUCUUUUUGAUUAUCGCUCUUUUCUUGCAUUCCGCAGUUUCCUCUCAUUUUUCACAUCCCACAACUUCAUCUCUUUUCUUUUCUUUUUUUAAAAAAAAAUUAAAAAUGAUUUGAUCGAACUCGAUGUAGGUUGCCUACGUAUCAUGUUCCACAUGAAUCAGACCAAGCGUAGUUCUGGAAAAUUAUUGGACAAAAUUAAAAAAAAUAAGAAUCUUUUUGGAUUUUUUCACUUAUAAUAUUUGUUUGGUUUUCACAUACAAAAUAGGAAAUACGAUAACAAAAGACUCGACAAACUCAACUAGACUAGGAUAGACUCCGAAACCACCUAAAAUAUUCGAUACUACUGUACAAGACUAGAAAAUAUAAGGCGACAUGAAUGACAGACUCAAAACAUAAAAGUAUCCUCAAGCAACUCAUGAAUGCAGUGGUCCUGAUUGGAUGGUCCUGGGGCGUCUGUCAUGCUCAAGCUCCGGCAAAUGGAUAUAUACCAUAAAGAGAAGGAUAAGACCAAACAGAGUUGGUAACUCAGGACACUAUGUGACACUACAACUCCUCUUAUUGGAGACAUACAAGACAUGAUUGGGCUAUUUUUGCAAAAAAUGGCCUACGUGGCCAAAGGUGGCUAGAAGUGAAAACUCAAUUAGGACGACCUCGAAAACAUGAAAACACCUCACGAAGGCCUAUACGACCCCCGAUCUCCCAGGAAUCACGGUCUCUAAAAUUACUUUACAAAAAUGACCCGCUUUGCAUAAAUGACCUAUGUGGUAAAAAAAAUGGCUAAGCAUGCAAACUCAACAGGAAUGGACCUUUAAACUAAGAGGAUACCUUUUUGUGGACUCAUGACUCUGAGACAUGGGUUAACAAGCCACUUUGCAAAAAUAGUCUUAUUUUACAAAAAGGCCGAUGUGGCCAAAAGUGAUUAGACAUGCAAGAUUUGGCUACGACCCCCGAAGCCAAGAACAUAAGACUCACUAGGAAGACCAGACCCUAUGUGGGCUGCCUACGUAUCCCGCCCCUAAAGACGAGAAUCAGGUAUGCGUAGUUCAGGAAGAUUGGAUACAUGAGAGAAUUUAAAAAAAACACCAAUUUGGAGAAAACAUAUUUUUUGUCUUUUUAAAAAAAAAUGAUGAAUAUAAAAUCUUUUUGGAUUUUCUUUUUCUCUUUUUUUUAUUUUUUUUAUUUUUUGGAAAAUGAUGGGAAAGUGCAAAAUCUUUUUGGAUUUUUCAUUUUCAUUUUUGUUUUUGGUCUUUUCUUGAAAGAGUUGUGAAAGAAAAAUAUAAUUGGGCCCUACUUGAUUCAUCUUUAUACUUCACCCUCUUUUCUUUCUCAUUUACCCUCAACCAUCAUUUAUCCUCCAAAUGACCCAUUUACCCUUAAAGAAUUCAACAUGUAGCACAUAGGAAUGAUUAAAUGUGUUUUUGGGCCAUGGGACCAUCUGACAUAAUUUGGAUAGGUCUCCUACAAAGGGACACGGUGCCUAGGACCGAGCCCUGCUAGGUCUAAAUGACAUGAUACAAAUAAGAAUGACCUAAAGGCUAAACUACGUUUGGGGUUCACUAGACAAGGCAAUUUGGGGCGGCACGUGGUCAAUGGCGGCUGCUCUAGCUGUCCGCCCAUUCCACGCUCCCACGCCACCCCCCUAAAGACACGAGUGACUCACAAACGACCGUGUACGCUCAAACGUACUCCGGAAGACUUGUUGCAGAAAGAAGACUCAUGGUUAUGCAAAUGAUGCCAGUUAUAAAGCAGUAAAUACAUAAAAACUAGCAAAUAAUAACAAACUAUAAAAACAUAACAAAAAUCAAAUAAAGCAAAUAAAAAACAUAAAAACCUCUACCGAAUAUUCUAAAAAGCCAACAAGAUCGUAGAAUCAUCUCGAACAUGUAACUCCCCAGCAGAGUCGUCAAAGCUGUCACAUCUAUUUUUUUUACGUCACUAACCCCCUUUAAAAGAUAAAGAAGAUUUUUAAGCUCAAAAGGGUUUUCAAUUUGAAAGUGACAAAAAGAUUGUGUUUCAAAGUAUUUUCAGAGUCGCCACCUGACAUUUGAUUUCGGUGUGCCAGGUCACCGUUGAAAAAUAAUUUUUCCUUUUGAAAACACAUUUAAACUCUAAAAUAGAGUCUGCACCAGAGAUUCUAGAUAAGGGGGUUCAUUUGACUCGGGGAGAAGGUAUUAGGCAUUCCCCAAUUUCCGUAACUAGUACGGUUGCGUACUCGAUCAAGUUCGCUUUAAAGAAUAUUUUAAUUGAGGUAAAAACACAAAAAAGAAAAAUAAGUACAAAAGAGGCUCGAGGUCGUCCCCACCUAAUAAAAGAAAAAUAAGAGAAAAAAAAGGAAGUACUAAAAGAAAAAAUACUAAGAGUUAUAAUCUAUCCUACUAUAUGCUUCCUCCGCAAUGUAGCCCGGGUCUCCGUUUACAUUCACUUUAGGACAUACCCCGGAUAAAAAUAUAUACAAACUCUUCGGGGUAUUCCCCCGGUGAAACCAUAAUAAACUAAAGGGGAACGACCUCUUACCUCGUAAAUUCAAACAAAAUCCUAAGGUUUGCCUACCUAAGUGUGGUCGACCUAGGCAUGCUCAUACUCGAAAAAGUAAAUAAAACAAGACUAGAAGAACAAUACAAUUAUCUUGAACCUAAAUUUCUUUUAAUUUUACACAGCAAUCCAAAUAAUAAAAUCAAUCCAAAAUAAGUUUUUAAGUUGGAACUCCUUACUUCAUUAAAGCUAAAUCGCAUUCGGUUGAAGCCGUAAGAUAAAAAAAUAAUGCCAGCAAGCCUACUUUAAAGCAUGUACACAACAAAGAAAAACAUUCUUAUUUUCACUUUCACGUCAUUAGCCAAUCCAGUUACCAAACUCAAGCAAAUUUCAUCAAAGGAUCAAAAUGUAUCACAAAUAAUCAUGGAAACCAUAUGAAUCAACCAUUCAAACACAUAUAUCACAAAAAUCAAGAGGUAGAAUAUUAAAGAUAAAAAUGGACCUUUAAGUAGCUUUUCAAUAGCAGAAUUUUCUCCAAACAGCUUUACACUCGCUCAAGCGAGGAAAGAAUCCGUCGACGGGAACUCGACAGAGCAGCAAACAAUAAUAACUAUUGGACAGGAACCGCGAAUCAGCCCGUGAGCGAACGCAGAACUCGAAAACCUCGAACGGACCACCGUGUGUACUCAAUGAAGAAGAAAGACCCUAAAAAUAGACAGUGUAUCCAUGGUCCUAUGUGCCGCCGCAACUUAGUUCAUCGGUCCUUAACUCGUACUCAAUUCUCUCUCGACAUAAGCCAUGGUUUGUUCGGUAUGAGCAGAAAGCAGAAUAACAGGGUAUUUUUCGCAACGCGCUUAGCUUUUAUUAGUGGUUCGAUCAGAGAGUGAAAAACACAAAUAGGAGGAGAGAGAGAUAAAAUGGCAGUAGUCCGGCGGGUUUGAAAUGGCCGGUGGCGACAGAUUUGAGAGGAGGGAGUGUGGCCAUUUUGGACUUGCUGCUGACGGCGUCGCCACUCAACAAUGAUCAAUUUCGGCAAGGCAACAACUCGAGUGAGGGAGAUGGCAGAGGCGGGUGAAGAGAGUGGUCGUUAGGUGUUGAGGGGAUGCUGUUGUGUGUGUAUCUGUAUGCUCGAAUUUACGACGAGUGAUAGAACUGAGCAGCAGCCUUGUCUAUCAAAUGAAGAGAGAGCUUUGAAGAUGAAGAGGCGGCCGGAUUUUGGAGAGGAGGGGUGUGGCUCUCUUUAGAAUGGAGGAGUUCCCUUAGGGUUUUGGGGGUUAAUUUGAUUUUUAUAUGGUGGUGGGGAGUAAGUAUUGGCCAUUGGAUUAAACAUUAUGAGUGACGAAGAUUUAAUCUUGCAUUUAAGUGGAAAGUGGGAUAAUGGGUUAGAAAGAAUGGGCUUUUGUCUUGCUGGGCCACUAAAAUCUGAAAAUGAGCUCCUAAUUGGC
rnacentral:lncRNA from 1 species